rnacentral:sRNA from 1 species
UUAGUUUAGUUUUGCUUCUCGUUGCGUUGUACAUUGAAUUCCGUGCCACACCUCAGAUCCACACUGAUUAAGAGAUUUACAAACGCUAAGCGAGCUGCGAGGCGAAAAGGUUAAUUGCUUUGUAAGGUAGCCUGAUGAAAAAAAGUGAAGCUGACCACGCGGCAGGCAACGCUGACGCAGACUCAACUUAAUUGGCGCACGAGGCGCAUACUUAAUGCGCUUAGAUGCUGGCCAAGCUCAUCACAGUUCCUCAUUGCCAUUGCCAUUGCAAAAGCCGCUUUUGUGCUUCUAAUUAGAUCCAGCGGAUGCAAUUCGUCCUCGUCACCUUCUCCUUUCAUCCAGCAUAGAAAAUUGUGCCGUGCAAAAGACGAAUUUCGCUAAAUGCGUUCGCAUAAUAAUUUCGAUGGUGUCAAGGAAAUGAGUGGAUAAGCGAUGUGAGAAAAUUGUCCCGUCCCGUGGCUAAAUGCAAAUCGACUGUCUGACAAAAUCACGAAAUAAAUUGACGAUGGUCAAAUUCAGGGCAAUCUUCGUGGUAUGGCUGUGAUUCGAUGUCACAAGUUAAAUCAACAAUAACAAGCGAAAACAGCAACCAGAACAACCAGAACAACAACAUUGAUGAUGACAACACGCGACGACAAUAAAAACAAAUAAGUCAAGAGUGCGCCAGAUGCGUGGGCUCAACAUUCAGAUACCCUGUAUCUAGUGCCUACAUACGCAAAAUCUGAGAAAUUCUGGACUUACCGAUGUAUUACUUAAUCGUUUCGCUGUAUUUAUAAAAUUGACCUGAAAAUCGUUUCUUUUCAAUCAACAGUAAUUUCUGCUUCCUUUUUAAUAAUACUAAAUAUUGUGUU